AGCGAACGCUGGCGGCAGGCUUAACACAUGCAAGUCGAGCGGGCAUCCUUGUGGUGUCAGCGGCAGACGGGUGAGUAACGCGUGGGAACGUGCCCUUCGGUUCGGAAUAACUCAGGGAAACUUGAGCUAAUACCGGAUACGCCCUUUUGGGGGAAGGUUUACUGCCGAAGGAUCGGCCCGCGUCUGAUUAGCUCGUUGGUGAGGUUAUGGCUCACCGAGGCGACGAUCAGUAGCUGGUCUGAGAGGAUGAUCAGCCACACUGGGACUGAGACACGGCCCAGACUCCUACGGGAGGCAGCAGUGGGGAAUAUUGGACAAUGGGGGCAACCCUGAUCCAGCCAUGCCGCGUGAGUGAUGACGGCCUUAGGGUUGUAAAGCUCUUUUAUCCGGGACGAUAAUGACGUUACCGGAGGAAUAAGCCCCGGCUAACUUCGUG
rnacentral:rRNA from 1 species